rnacentral:SRP_RNA from 2 species
GCCGGGCGUGGUGGCGUGCGCCUGUAAUCCCAGCUACUCUGGAGGCUGAGGCACAAGAAUUGCUUGAACCCAGGAAGUGGAGUUUGCAGUGAGCUGAAAUUGCACCACUGCACUCCAGCCUGGGCGACAGAGUGAGACUCUGUCUCGA